rnacentral:rRNA from 1 species
GGAUGAACGCCGGCGGUGUGCCUAAUACAUGCAACUCAUACGCACUGGCCCAACUGAUUGAUGGUGCUUGCACCUGAUUGACGUUGGAUCACCAGUGAGUGGCGGACGGGUGAGUAACACGUAGGUAACCUGCCCCGGAGCGGGGGAUAACAUUUGGAAACAGAUACUAAUACCGCAUAACAACAAAAGCCACAUGGCUUUUGUUUGAAAGAUGGCUUUAGCUAUCACUCUGGGAUGGACCUGCGGUGCAUUAGCUAGUUGGUAAGGUAACGGCUUACCAAGGCGAUGAUGCAUAGCCGAGUUGAGAGACUGAUCGGCCACAAUGGAACUGAGACACGGUCCAUACUCCUACGGGAGGCAGCAGUAGGGAAUCUUCCACAAUGGGCGCAAGCCUGAUGGAGCAACACCGCGUGAGUGAAGAAGGGUUUCGGCUCGUAAAGCUCUGUUGUUGGAGAAGAACGUGCGUGAGAGUAACUGUUCACGCAGUGACGGUAUCCAACCAGAAAGUCACGGCUAACUACGUGCCAGCAGCCGCGGUAAUACGUAGGUGGCAAGCGUUAUCCGGAUUUAUUGGGCGUAAAGCGAGCGCGGGCGGUUGCUUAGGUCUGAUGUGAAAGCUUUCGGCUUAACCGAAGAAGUGCAUCGGAAACCGGGCGACUUGAGCGCAGAAGAGGACAGUGGAACUCCAUGUGUAGCGGUGGAAUGCGUAGAUAUAUGGAAGAACACCAGUGGCGAAGGCGGCUGUCUGGUCUGCAACUGACGCUGAGGCUCGAAAGCAUGGGUAGCGAACAGGAUUAGAUACCCUGGUAGUCCAUGCCGUAAACGAUGAGUGCUAGGUGUUGGAGGGUCUCCGCCCUUCAGUGCCGGAGCUAACGCAUUAAGCACUCCGCCUGGGGAGUACGACCGCAAGGUUGAAACUCAAAGGAAUUGACGGGGGCCCGCACAAGCGGUGGAGCAUGUGGUUUAAUUCGAAGCUACGCGAAGAACCUUACCAGGUCUUGACAUCUUGCGCUAACCUUAGAGAUAAGGCGUUCCCUUCGGGGACGCAAUGACAGGUGGUGCAUGGUCGUCGUCAGCUCGUGUCGUGAGAUGUUGGGUUAAGUCCCGCAACGAGCGCAACCCUUGUUACUAGUUGCCAGCAUUAAGUUGGGCACUCUAGUGAGACUGCCGGUGACAAACCGGAGGAAGGUGGGGACGACGUCAGAUCAUCAUGCCCCUUAUGACCUGGGCUACACACGUGCUACAAUGGACGGUACAACGAGUUGCAAACUCGCGAGAGCAAGCUAAUCUCUUAAAGCCGUUCUCAGUUCGGACUGUAGGCUGCAACUCGCCUACACGAAGUCGGAAUCGCUAGUAAUCGCGGAUCAGCAUGCCGCGGU